rnacentral:rRNA from 1 species
UACGUAGGCAGCGAGCGUUGUUCGGAAUUACUGGGCGUAAAGAGUGUGUAGGCGGUGUUCCCAGUCUGUUGUGAAAUCCCUCAGCUCAACUGAGGAAGUGCGCCCGAAACUGCUUUGCUUGAGUGUCGGAGAGGAUGGCGGAAUUCCCCAAGUAGAGGUGAAAUUCGUAGAUAUGGGGAGGAACACCGGUGGCGAAGGCGGCCAUCUGGACGAUUACUGACGCUGAGACGCGAAAGCGUGGGUAGCAAACAGG